rnacentral:rRNA from 1 species
GAUGAACGCUGGCGGCAUGCCUAAUACAUGCAAGUCGAACGAGAGGAAGGAAAGCUUGCUUUUCUGAAUCUAGUGGCGAACGGGUGAGUAACACGUAGGUAACCUGCCCAUGUGCCCAGGAUAACUUCUGGAAACGGAUGCUAAAACCGGAUAGGUAGCAGACAAGCAUUUGACUGCUAUUAAAGUGGCUAAGGCCAUGAACAUGGAUGGACCUGCGGUGCAUUAGCUAGUUGGUGAGGUAACGGCCCACCAAGGCGACGAUGCAUAGCCGGCCUGAGAGGGCGGACGGCCACAUUGGGACUGAGACACGGCCCAAACUCCUACGGGAGGCAGCAGUAGGGAAUUUUCGUCAAUGGGGGGAACCCUGAACGAGCAAUGCCGCGUGAGUGUGGAAGGUCUUCGGAUCGUAAAGCUCUGUUGUAAGAGAAAAACGACAUUCAUAGGGAAUGAUGAGUGAGUGAUGGUAUCUUACCAGAAAGUCACGGCUAACUUCGUGCCAGCAGCCGCCGUAACAC